rnacentral:rRNA from 2 species
UGAGGAAUAUUGGUCAAUGGUCGGAAGACUGAACCAGCCAAGUAGCGUGAAGGAUGAAGGUUCUAUGGAUUGUAAACUUCUUUUAUACGGGAAUAAAGCCCGCUACGUGUAGCGGUUUGUAUGUACCGUAUGAAUAAGCAUCGGCUAACUCCGUGCCAGCAGCCGCGGUAAUACGGAGGAUGCGAGCGUUAUCCGGAUUUAUUGGGUUUAAAGGGAGCGUAGACGGGAGAUUAAGUCAGCUGUGAAAGUUUGGGGCUCAACCUUAAAAUUGCAGUUGAUACUGGUUUCCUUGAGUGCGGUUGAGGUGUGUGGAAUUCGUGGUGUAGCGGUGAAAUGCUUAGAUAUCACGAAGAACUCCGAUUGCGAAGGCAGCACACUAAUCCGCAACUGACGUUGAGGCUCGAAAGUGUGGGUAUCAAACAGG